rnacentral:rRNA from 1 species
CCCUUAGACGUUCUGGGCCGCACGCGCGCUACACUGACGAAGGCAACGAGCUUUCCUUUACCGAAAGGUACGGGUAAUCUUUUGAAACUUCGUCGUGCUGGGGAUAGAUCCUUGCAAUUUUUGAUCUUAAACGAGGAAUGCCUAGUAAGCGCAAGUCAUCAACUUGCGUUGAUUACGUCCCUGCCCUUUGUACACACCGCCCGUCGCUACUACCGAUUGAAUGGUUUAGUGAGGCCUUCGGAUCCGCGACUCGUUUGUGGAGAAGUUGGACAAACUCAGUCAUUUAGAGGAAGUAAAAGUCGUAACA